CAAAUGAUUAUAGUCCACUUAUUUAUUUUCUUCUGCAUAAUUAUUUAAAAAAACAAAAGGCAAUCAAACACUAAUUAUAGCUCCUUGAAGACAUUAAUCAUGGAUUCGCGUGUUUUGCAUAAGGCUUCCAACGGUUGUGCUUUAGGCAUAGUGAGUCCUGUCCCUUCAGACAUAUCCACUAACUCUUCAUUGAAUUAAUGAAGCCAAGGCCAAUCCCACCCCUCUAUUUGCCAGAUUAGCUCCAGGACAUGCCCUCCUGCCCAACCCAAAUGGAAUCAAUUUAUAUGCAUUAGCAUCUAAACCUUCAAACCUCUCUGGCCUGAAACUUGUUGGGUCCUCCCACAUCUUGGGAUCUCUAUGAAUUGCCCAAGCAUUG
rnacentral:misc_RNA from 1 species